ACUCUUUUAGUAUAACCAUUAUAACUGACUUCCAAUUAGUAGAUUCUGAAAAUACAUUCAGAAAAGAGUA
rnacentral:tRNA from 1 species